UACGUAGGGUCCGAGCGUUGUCCGGAUUUAUUGGGCGUAAAGAGCGUGUAGGCGGCCAUGCAGGUCCGUUGUGAAAACUGGAGGCUUAACCUCCAGACGUCGAUGGAAACCGUAUGGCUAGAGUCCGGAAGAGGAGAGUGGAAUUCCUGGUGUAGCGGUGAAAUGCGCAGAUAUCAGGAAGAACACCCGUGGCGAAGGCGGCUCUCUGGGACGGUACUGACGCUGAGACGCGAAAGCGUGGGGAGCGAACAGG
rnacentral:rRNA from 1 species